rnacentral:lncRNA from 1 species
AGACCACAGGCUGCUCCACAGGAGUCCUUUCCCCAGCGGUUGCUAACUGCUUGUAUGAGCGUAGGCAGAGGUCUUGUGAGUCUUGUAGGAUUUCUGAACUUCCAGAACCUGGUAAGGUUGGAGGGAUUCCUGAGAUGUCAGCUUCCCUGGUGUGUGUCCAGGAGGAGAUGUUUGAGCUCACAGGAAGUAGCUGGAGCACAUGAGUGUCUGGAGGCUUCGUGCCAAGUCCACUCAUCAGGACUGUUGUGUUCCACUCACCAGGCUGUAGUAGAUUUUCUUUCUUUUUAUUUUAUGUGUAUUAGUGUUUGGCUGAAUGUUUGUGCCCAUGGAAGGCAGAAGAAGGCAUUGGAUCCCCUGGGCCUGAAGUCACAGUUGGUUGUGAAUUGCCAUGUCUGUGCCGGGAAUCAAACCUGGGUCCUCUGGGAGAGAGAGCAUCCAGUGUUGUUAACCACGGAGCCACCUCUCCAGCCCUGUGGCUAUUUAUUUGCCUUCAGAGCUUUAUCCCAGAGCUGUCAUUAGUUAGGAGAGUACAGCUACCCAUGAAGAUAAAAGAUAAAACUUUGUUUUCUGCCCAUAUAAAAAAAUACCUAGAGCAGGACACGGGCUAUACACUUGUAAGUUUAGCAUCUGGGAGGCCAAGGCAGA